rnacentral:rRNA from 1 species
CAGAGGCCCCAAGCGUUACUGAGAAUCACUGGGUUUAAAGGGUGCGUAGGCGGUCUUGUAAGUCAGUGGUGAAAUCCGGCAGCUUAACCGUCGAUGUGCCAUUGAUACUGCAGGACUUGAGUACAGACGAGGUAGGCGGAAUUGACGGUGUAGCGGUGAAAUGCUUAGAUAUCGUCAAGAACACCGAUAGCGAAGGCAGCUUACUAGACUGUAACUGACGCUGAUGCACGAAAGUGUGGGGAUCAAACAGGAUUAGAUACCCUGGUAGUCCACACUGUAAACGAUGAUUACUCGAUGUUGGCGAUACACAGCCAGCGUCUUAGCGAAAGCGAUAAGUAAUCCACCUGGGGAGUACGCCGGCAACGGUG